GGGGGGGGGGGGGGGGGGGCGGGGGGGGGGGGGGGGGGGGGGGAGGGCGGGGCGGGGGGGGGGGGCGGGGGGGGCGGACGGGUGGGGAACACGGGGGGAGCCGGCCCGGGGCGGGGGGAGAAGUGCGGGAAACGGGGGCUGAUACCGGAUAGGAGCUCCGGCUGCAUGGCGGGGGUUCGCCAGGUUCGGCGGUUGGGGACGGACGCGCGGCUUAUCAGCUUGUUGGUGGGGUAGUGGCUUACCAAGGCUUUGACGGGUAGCCGGCCUGAGAGGGUGACCGGCCACAUUGGGACUGAGAUACGGCCCAGACUCCUACGGGAGGCAGCAGUGGGGAAUAUUGCACAAUGGGCGGAAGCCUGAUGCAGCAACGCCGCGUGCGGGAUGACGGCCUUCGGGUUGUAACCCGCUUUCGCCUGUGACGAAGCGUGAGUGACGGUAAUGGGUAAAGAAGCACCGGCUAACUACGUG
rnacentral:rRNA from 1 species